rnacentral:rRNA from 1 species
GACGAACGCUGGCGGCGUGCUUAACACAUGCAAGUCGAACGGAAAGGCCCUGCUUUUGUGGGGUGCUCGAGUGGCGAACGGGUGAGUAACACGUGAGUAACCUGCCCUUGACUUUGGGAUAACUUCAGGAAACUGGGGCUAAUACCGGAUAUGAGCUCCUGCUGCAUGGUGGGGGUUGGAAAGUUUCGGCGGUUGGGGAUGGACUCGCGGCUUAUCAGCUUGUUGGUGGGGGAGUGGCUUACCAAGGCUUUGACGGGUAGCCGGCCUGAGAGGGUGACCGGCCACAUUGGGACUGGGAUACGGCCAAGACUCCUACGGGAGGCAGCAGUGGGGAAUAUUGCACAAUGGGCGAAAGCCUGAUGCAGCAACGCCGCGUGCGGGAUGACGGCCUUCGGGUUGUAACCCGCUUUCGCCUGUGACGAAGCGUGAGUGACGGUAAUGGGUAAAGAAGCACCGGCUAACUACGUG